UGCCAGUAGGUUAAAACGGUGCACGAUUUUGCAAUAACCGGUCACGUGCACAUUCCACCGGCUGAGCUGUUCUCUCGUCGAUUUCUCGUUGGUGUGUUAUCGUUUGGACAAAGCAGAAGCUCGUCUAUGCGUGCGUGCAUGUGUAUGCGUGAUACGAGAGAGGAAGAUAUCGAUAAUACUCUGAAUAUUUGGAGCGAAACGAAACCGUGCCGCAGAUGUCGAGGUAGAUCUACCUUGAAAAGAAAGAAGCGACUGUAAUUAAACCGCACGUAAAUGCGUAGAGCCAAG